UACGAAGGGUGCAACCGUUGCUCGGAAUUAUUGGGCGUAAAGCACACGUAGGCGGCUUUGCAAGUCCCAUGUGAAAUCCCACGGCUCAACCGUGGAAGUGCAUGGGAAACUGCAGAGCUUGAGUACUUAAGAGGAUCGCGGAAUUCCCGGUGUAGAGGUGAAAUUCGUAGAUAUCGGGAGGAACACCAGUGGCGAAGGCGGCGAUCUGGGAAGAUACUGACGCUGAGGUGCGAAAGCGUGGGGAGCAAACAGG
rnacentral:rRNA from 1 species